AUUUUUUUAGUAUAAAAAGUAUAUCUGACUUCCAAUCAGAAGGUCUAAACAUUUAGAAAAAAUA
rnacentral:tRNA from 1 species